UACGGGGGGGGGCAAGCGUUGUUCGGAAUUACUGGGCGUAAAGGGCUCGUAGGCGGCCAACUAAGUCAGACGUGAAAUCCCUCGGCUUAACCGGGGAACUGCGUCUGAUACUGGAUGGCUUGAGUUUGGGAGAGGGAUGCGGAAUUCCAGGUGUAGCGGUGAAAUGCGUAGAUAUCAGGAGGAACACCGGUGGCGAAGGCGGGGUCUCUGGGCAACAACUGACGCUGAGGAGCGAAAGCGUGGGGAGCGAACAGG
rnacentral:rRNA from 1 species